rnacentral:rRNA from 1 species
AAGACCUUGCGUUUUUGGAGCGGCCGAUGUCUGAUUAGCUAGUUGGUGGGGUAAUGGCCUACCAAGGCUUCGAUCAGCAGCUGGUCUGAGAGGACGGCCAGCCACACUGGGACUGAGACACGGCCCAGACUCCUACGGGAGGCAGCAGUGGGGAAUUUUGGACAAUGGGCGCAAGCCUGAUCCAGCCAUGCCGCGUGAGUGAAGAAGGCCUUCGGGUUGCAAAGCUCUUUCAGCCGAGAAGAAAAGAUUGCGACUAAUAAUCGCAAUUCAUGACGGUACCGGCAGAAGAAGCACCGGCUAACUACGUGCCAGCAGCCGCGGUAAUACGUAGGGUGCGAGCGUUAAUCGGAAUUACUGGGCGUAAAGGGUGCGCAGGCGGUUUUGUAAGUCAGAUGUGAAAUCCCCGGGCUUAACCUGGGAACU